GGGAUCAUUACACAACAAAAUAU
rnacentral:rRNA from 1 species